UACGUAGGGGGCUAGCGUUGUCCGGAAUCAUUGGGCGUAAAGCGCGUGUAGGCGGCCCGGUAAGUCCGCUGUGAAAGUCCAGGGCUCAACCCUGGGAUGCCGGUGGAUACUGUCGGGCUCGAGUCCGGAAGAGGCGAGUGGAAUUCCUGGUGUAGCGGUGAAAAUUCGUAGAUAUCGGGAGGAACACCGGUGGCGAAGGCGGCGACCUGGGUAGAUACUGACGCUGAGGUGCGAAAGCGUGGGGAGCAACAGG
rnacentral:rRNA from 1 species